UUGCCUUGCCCCCCUCAAAAAAACACUAAGCCACAUGGCUAACAUAGACCUUAACCUUUUGUUUACAGAGACUGGUAGUCAGAGAUGGGUUAGAUCUCCCUCCCCCAGGCAAUCCAAGACAGGAUAUAAAUGAUAGAGUGUGUGCACCGAUGACAGGAGGUUUGACCUGUGACAUGGCUGCCUUCAAGAUACUUGGUCUAGUGUGGGUUCACUACCUAAACAACAGAAUGCUUAACUUAGGAUAGUUACUUGAUAUCUCAAGUAUUGGGGCAAGUAACUGUUCCAGUUGUCCUUUGUAUCGUUAAAAUACUCUUUUGCCUUCUUCCCCCCUUUUGUAUUGGGGGAUAAAAGUGUAUGGAAAAUAAACACAGGUGAACUCGGAAGUCAGAAUUCAGCAUUCUGUAUUCACUGAGUCACCCUCCCCUUUA